CCUACGGGAGGCAGCAGUGGGGAAUAUUGCACAAUGGGGGAAACCCUGAUGCAGCGACGCCGCGUGAGUGAAGAAGUAUUUCGGUACGUAAAGCUCUAUCAGCAGGGAAGAAAAUGACGGUACCUGACUAAGAAUCCCCGGCUAACUACGUGCCAGCAGCCGCGGUAAUACGUAGGGGGCAAGCGUUAUCCGGAUUUACUGGGUGUAAAGGGAGCGUAGACGGCAGCGCAAGUCUGGAGUGAAAUCCCAUGGCUUAACCAUGGAACUGCUUUGGAAACUGGGCAGCUAGAGUGCAGGAGAGGUAAGCGGAAUUCCUAGUGUAGCGGUGAAAUGCGUAGAUAUUAGGAGGAACACCAGUGGCGAAGGCGGCUUACUGGACUGUAACUGACGUUGAGGCUCGAAAGCGUGGGGAGCAAACAGGAUUAGAUACCCGAGUAGUC
rnacentral:rRNA from 1 species